rnacentral:rRNA from 1 species
GAUGAACGCUGGCGGCGUGCCUAAUACAUGCAAGUCGAGCGAACAGACGAGGAGCUUGCUCCUCUGACGUUAGCGGCGGACGGGUGAGUAACACGUGGAUAACCUACCUAUAAGACUGGGAUAACUUCGGGAAACCGGAGCUAAUACCGGAUAAUAUAUUGAACCGCAUGGUUCAAUAGUGAAAGACGGUUUUGCUGUCACUUAUAGAUGGAUCCGCGCCGCAUUAGCUAGUUGGUAAGGUAACGGCUUACCAAGGCAACGAUGCGUAGCCGACCUGAGAGGGUGAUCGGCCACCCUGGAACUAGGACACGGUCCAGCCUCCUACGGGAGGCAGCAGUAGGAAAUCUUCCGCAAUGGGCGAAAGCUUGACGGGGCAACGCCGCGUGAGUGAUGAAGGUCUUCGGAUCGUAAAACUCUGUUAUUAGGGAAGAACAAAUGUGUAAGUAACUAUGCACGUCUUGACGGUACCUAAUCAGAAAGCACGGCUAACUACGUG